rnacentral:ribozyme from 13 species
GCCUAUAACUAUAGAUUCUCUCUAAACGAAGUAGAAACGAAAGUAUAAAAGCCGGCCGUCGUGAUAACAUAUCAUUAACCUUUUCUCAAACAUUAAUUUGAUUUUUGUUUUGUUUUCAAUUUCAAAACAUUUUUUUUUUUUUUUUAAACAUUCUUACUCCCAACG